rnacentral:lncRNA from 1 species
CUGCUAUCAUCUCUUUAUGGCAAUGUGAUCAGUUCAACUCAAAUCAGACUGGGCUUUGUGCUGCUGUUAGAGGCUGUUGAUGAUUUGGCUGUUGACAUACCUGAUGUGGUUGAUGUGCUCGCGCUUUUCAUUGCACGUGCAGUUGUUGAUGACAUUUUGCCACCUGCUUUCCUCAGCAAGGCAAAAGUGACUCUCUCAGAGUCCUCAAAGGGUUUGCAGGUUGUACAAAUUGCAGAGAAGAGCUACCUUUCAGCACCUCACCAUGCAGAGUUGAUUGAGCGACGAUGGGGUGGUUCAACUCACAUCACAGUAGAAGAGGUGAAGAAGAGGAUUGCUGAUCUUCUAAAGGAAUACAUCAGAAAUGGUGAUACAGCUGAGGCAUGUAGGUGCAUUAGAGAGUUGGCAGUGCCAUUUUUUCAUCACGAGGUGGUGAAGCGAGCUCUUACGCUUGGAAUGGAGAGCCCAGCUGCUGAAGCUCUUAUUGUCAAGCUUCUGAAGGAAGCAUCUGAAGAAUGUCUGAUAAGCUCUAGUCAGAUGAUGAAAGGAUUCUCUCGUGUUGCUGAGAGUCUUGAUGAUCUCAUUCUUGAUAUCCCAUCUGCAAAAUCUGAAUUUCAGCUGUUGGUAUCAAA